rnacentral:lncRNA from 1 species
UUGAUUGCCAUUUUUCUUUUUUAGUGCAUGCACACAAACAGACGCGAAGAGAGACCCUCAUAUAAGUUUCGUUAGAAUCAGAUGUCUUAAGAAGGAUGGUGAAGUGGUGCGUGUGCAUGGUUCCAAGGAUCCAUGGUUCUACAAUUAAAAACCAGGAUUUCAAACUUUUAAACAAAACUUGAAGAGAAGAGGAGACUUGGGAGCGUACGAAAAGAUUGGGG